UCCUGAUGAACACAAUCAUUCACGUUAAAAUACUCUUUUCUAUGGAUGUGGUACUAGACACAGUUUUAGAAGGCAGCUCGUUGAACCCUCCGUGCUUGCAUAUAGCAAGUGCUCACUAAACAUCUACAGAGUAAUUGAACGAAUGGAUGAAUGAAGAGGUGUCUCUGUGUCUCAGCACGUCUUUGCUCAGAUGAACUUCGCUGCUGACGGGGCCGGCUGUGGCGUGUUGACACUGGAGCAGGCCCCAGAGACAGGAAAACCUCCGAAAUACUUCACAAUGUGAUGGAAAGCCUGCUCCAGAAGACGUUAAGGACCCUCCUCACAGGGAGACUUCAAAUGCGUGAUUCUUAUAACAAGACCAGAGCCCGAAGAUUUCCUGAAGUGGGAGAAAGAAAAGCGCUCCCUGCCUGCUUGGAAUUGCUGUGUGCACGAUGCCCUGCAGAGAGAGAGAAGAGAGCAGGCUGGAUGCCUUCCAAAAACCAGAAGGGAAGCUGAUUCCUACUUGGGAGGGUGUUAAAAUCUGAAGAGCAAGGCCGACAGACCGAGGGGAGAAAGUGGAGGAGAGAGGUAGACGUGUGAGCAUCUUUUCCAAUUUUUGCUGUUUUCUUACAGCCAAAUGCCUGGAAAUCUGCAGCAUCCAGCAAUUCCCUGG